GGAUCAAUAUGUUGGUCGUGCCUUGGUACGUACUUGUAUUAUUGAUUUCUUCCUUCUGACGAACCUUGAUGUCAUUAAUUUGGUGUCUUGGGGAAUCAGGACUGUUACUUUGAAAAAACUAGAGUGUUUAAAGCAGGCUCACGCUUGAAUACAUUAGCAUGGAAUAAUGAAAUAGGACGUUUGAUUCUAUUUUGUUGGUUUCUAGGAUUGACGUA
rnacentral:rRNA from 1 species